rnacentral:rRNA from 1 species
AGACGAAUUUUGAUCCGCAGAUUUCUGAAUGGGGAAACCUAAUCAAUUUAUUGAUUAUUGCAUAUUGAAUACAUAGAUAUGUAAAGCAAACCUGGUGAACUGAAAUAUCUCAGUAGCUAGAGGAAAGGAAAUCAAAAGAGACUCCGUUAGUAGUGACGAGCGAACGCGGAUCAGGCCAGUGGUUUAUAGUUAAAAAUUAGAAUACUUUGGAAAGAGUAGCCAUAGAUGGUGAUAGCCCAGUAUAAGUAAAAAGAUUAUAGAUCCUUGAGUAGGGCGGGACACGUGAAAUCCUGUUUGAAGAUGGGGGGACCAUCCUCCAAGCCUAAGUACUCCUUAACGACCGAUAGUGGACAAGUACCGUGAGGGAAAGGUGAAAAGAACCCCGGGAGGGGAGUGAAAUAGACCCUGAAAUCGAAUGCUUACAACCAGUUGGAGCCUUAUAUUUAUCUUUGGGAGCAAUCUCAUCUAUAUUUAUUAGGGUGACAGCGUACCUUUUGCAUAAUGGGUCAGCGAGUUAAUCUAUUAAGCAAGCUUAAGCCGUUAGGUGUAGGCACAGCGAAAGCGAGUCUGAAUAGGGCGUUUAGUUUAAUGGAUUAGACCCGAAACCAAGUGAUCUAACCAUGGCCAGGUUGAAGGUGUAGUAAAAUACAUUGGAGG